rnacentral:rRNA from 1 species
UACGAAGGGGGCUAGCGUUGUCCGGAUUUACUGGGCGUAAAGAGCGCGCAGGCGGUCGAUUUAGUCGCGUGUGAAAGCCCCCGGCUCAACUGGGGAGGGUCACGCGAUACUGAUCGACUCGAAGGCAGGAGAGGGUAGUGGAAUUCCCGGUGUAGUGGUGAAAUGCGUAGAUAUCGGGAGGAACACCAGUGGCGAAGGCGACUACCUGGCCUGUUCUUGACGCUGAGGCGCGAAAGCUAGGGGAGCAAACGGG